rnacentral:rRNA from 1 species
UACGUAGGGUGCGAGCGUUGUCCGGAAUUAUUGGGCGUAAAGGGCGCGUAGGCGGCACUGUUAGUCAGGCGUGAAAUUCCUGGGCUCAACCUGGGGACUGCGCUUGAUACGGCAGAGCUAGAGGAUGGAAGAGGCUCGCGGAAUUCCCAGUGUAGAGGUGAAAUUCGUAGAUAUUGGGAAGAACACCGGUGGCGAAGGCGGCGAGCUGGUCCAUUACUGACGCUGAGGCGCGACAGCGUGGGGAGCAAACAGG